CAUAGGAGGCAAGGUUUCCAAACAAGUGCUGUUGUGAAAGCACCUAGGAGCCUUAUAAACAGAGGUUCUCCCACCCGCAGCAGCCUCGCUGGGUCCCAGUCUCAGAGCAGCUCCUCCAUCUUCUCCUGCCGCCCAGGGUCCAGCCGGCAUUCACUAUGCGGGGCCUCUGCUUCGUGCUCCUGACUUGCUUCAUCCUACUUCCUCACUUUGCCACAGCCCAGGUCCUGUCUCUAGACACGGGAGAGAACUGCAAGCGUGUUGGCGGUGAAUGUAAAUUUUUUUCUUGCCCAGGAGAUCAUGAAACUAUCAGUUCCUGUUGGAUCUUUGGAAUAGGGCAAUGCUGUCGACGCCGUGGCUAGCUGAAGGACACGGGAGCACAAGCAGCCUGAGAAUGAAAUAAAGGGCCGACUUUAACUCUGAAAGUGCUCUCAUAUUGUUUCCUGAAAAUAAAGAAAUGACCCGUGCUGCAUUUAA